rnacentral:rRNA from 1 species
GACGAACGCUGGCGGCGUGCUUAACACAUGCAAGUCAAACGGAAAGGCCCUGCUUUUGUGGGGUGCUCGAGUGGCGAACGGGUGAGUAACACGUGAGUAACCUGCCCUUGACUUUGGGAUAACUUCAGGAAACUGGGGCUAAUACCGGAUAGGAGCUCCUGCUGCAUGGUGGGGGUUGGAAAGUUUCGGCGGUUGGGGAUGGACUCGCGGCUUAUCAGCUUGUUGGUGGGGUAGUGGCUUACCAAGGCUUUGACGGGUAGCCGGCCUGAGAGGGUGACCGGCCACAUUGGGACUGAGAUACGGCCCAGACUCCUACGGGAGGCAGCAGUGGGGAAUAUUGCACAAUGGGCGGAAGCCUGAUGCAGCAACGCCGCGUGCGGGAUGACGGCCUUCGGGUUGUAAACCGCUUUCGCCUGCGACGAAGCGUGAGUGACGGUAAUGGGUAAAGAAGCACCGGCUAACUACGUG